UGUUAAAAUUCCAUCAAUUUCUAUUAUUAAAAAUUAACAUGGCUAAUAAAAUAAUCAAACAAUAACAUGGGGCAUGCUACAUGUAUCUUAUGCUACAUACAGAGACUAGAUUUUAAUAGAAGAAAUAGAUGAAAUUUUAAUCA
rfam:Gossypium hirsutum cultivar TM-1 unplaced genomic scaffold scaffold72.1, whole genome shotgun sequence